UUCGGGACGCUGGCGAGUGGCGAACGGGUGCGUAACGCGUGGAAACCUGCCCCGAGGUGUGGGACAACAGUUGGAAACGACUGCUAAUACCGCAUAAGCCUUACGAGGGAAAGGCGCAAGUCGCCUUGGGAGGGGUCCGCGUCGGAUUAGCUAGUUGGUGGGGUAAAGGCCUACCAAGGCGAUGAUCCGUAGCUGGUCUGAGAGGAUGAUCAGCCACACUGGGACUGAGACACGGCCCAGACUCCUACAGGAGGCAGCAGUGGGGAAUAUUGCGCAAUGGGAGAAAUCCUGACGCAGCGAUACCGCGUGGGUGAAGAAGGUCUUCGGAUUGUAAAGCCCUUUCAGCAGGAAAGAUGAUGACGGUACCUGCAGAAGAAGCCCCGGCUAACUCCGUGCCAGCAGCCGCGGUAAUACGGAGGGGGCGAGCGUUGUUCGGAAUGACUGGGCGUAAAGGGCGCGUAGGCUGCUCUGCAAG
rnacentral:rRNA from 1 species